rnacentral:rRNA from 1 species
UACAGAGGGUGCAAGCGUUGCUCGGAAUCAUUGGGCGUAAAGGGUAGGUAGGUGGUUUGUCGCGUCUGCUGUGAAAACCUAAGGCUCAACCUUGGGCUUGCAGUGGGUACGGGCAGACUAGAGUGCGGUAGGGGUGACUGGAAUUCCUGGUGUAGCGGUGGAAUGCGCUGAUAUCAGGAGGAACACCGAUGGCGAAGGCAGGUCACUGGGCCGCAACUGACGCUGAGGAGCGAAAGCAUGGGGAGCGAACAGG